UACGGGGGGAGCAAGCGUUGUUCGGAUUUAUUGGGCGUAAAGAGCUCGUAGGCGGCUCAGUAAGUCAGGUGUGAAACCUCCAGGCUCAACCUGGAGACGCCACCUGAUACUGCUGUGGCUAGAGUCCGGUAGGGGAGCGUGGAAUUCCUGGUGUAGCGGUGAAAUGCGCAGAUAUCAGGAGGAACACCAGCGGCGAAGGCGGCGCUCUGGGCCGGAACUGACGCUGAGGAGCGAAAGCGUGGGUAGCAAACAGG
rnacentral:rRNA from 1 species